rnacentral:ncRNA from 2 species
UCCUUAUCAAGAGAGGUGGAGGGUAUGGGCCCUAUGAAACCCGGCAACCAGCAUUUGAUUGUGCAUGGUGCCAAUUCCUACAGGUAUUUUACCUGAAAGAUGAGGG